GAGCUAUUCAUCUCUCAUACUGAUGCUGUUUAAACUUUUUCUGUUCUGUCUCCCUAUCUAAUUCUCAUUCACCGCUCUGGUUUCUAUGUUUCCAUGCUUCAAACAAACAAACAAAAACACUGGAGCAAUCCAGUAACAGCAGGUUUCUCCUUGAGAAGUGGAGAGGAAGCCUAAUCUCAUCAGCUGCAUAUGAAAAUAUUUUGAGGAGAGAAAAUUGUAGUUUCAAGUGAGACACUCCAAGACGCUUGGCAGAGAUCUUAUUAAAGAUAAGGAGAAAAUAAAAUAUUAAGAAUCAUAAUAUUGAAUACCAAAUUUUC
rnacentral:lncRNA from 1 species